AGCUUUCUUUCAGGGGUCCCAGGAUUCAUAGCUUUACCUCCACCCAACGCUGUGAAUCAGGAGCUCAGCACAUGUCUGUGAGAGCUUCUCUGAGACUGAGACAUCCUUCAAGCCCCCAGGGUUGAGGGGGCUGCCGCAAGUCGCCGGCCAUGCAGGCCCGGACGCCUCCGAGGAGUGACACGCUAGCGUCCAGCAUGUUCUCGUGCAACGCCACGGCCAUCAAGGACUGGAGUUUCUUCCUGUCGCAGAUCCUGCCGCUGGUGAACAAGUCGACGGGCCUGGUCCACAGAGGAAUGGAGAAAGCAGAGGCAGUGACCAGCAGCGUCAUGGCCACGGCCCUGGAGCCUGACCUGGGAGGGAUGGGGGCUAGCCGACCUCCGUUAAACUCCAACCACACAUCCGGCAUGGAGCACGUAUUCCGGUACUCGUACUCGGAGGAUGACCUGCUGUACACGGAUUACAGGACGCCGCCAAGGGACUCCAUUCCUCUCCCCAAGGCCGUGCUCUACUUGCUGAUGGUGGCGCUGGUGGUCGUGGUGGUGGCGUACGCCAUCGUGGGUCAUCUGGUGAAGGACCUGGUGCACGAGUUUGUGGAAUGGGUGUUUGGGCCUCGUUCAGCGAAUCGCAGGAGUAAAAGCGACGUCAGCUGCAUCACCGGCAGCGGCAACGAGAUGAGAGAACUCCCACGCACCAUGGAAACAAACUACAUUACCCACAACCACUCUAACUGCCUGGGCACCUUGAAGCCUGAUGAGCUGGUGGUCACCAUUGACGAAAUUUCACAACUUCCCAAUGAGGCAUACAGUGGGACCUAACUUCAGGCAGGAACCUGUGCCGUUUUGAUUCAGUCCCUCGCAACAGAGAAGCGGUGAAUUUGCUUGCAAGCAAAAGAAGUCUGAUCUGUCGGGAACCAACACUAAAGUCACUGUUCAUCGCUAACUGCAGGCGGGAGGCAUUUGGCUGGAGACUUGGUGGAGAAAGACACCGCAAAGAUAGAUCUGCUGAUGUGGGAAUUGCAGAGGAACACUGAGGAACACUGAGGAACGCUGAGGAACCAUGAAGCCUGUGGUUGAACAUUAACCAUCAGGUUAAUCCUCUCUGGAUCAGGCUACUGAGGUAGCCAAACAAUGCUAAAGUGGAUUUUCAGCCUCAAUGGAUCUUGUGGGUUGGAGCACAUUUCUGUUUCUCAUUCUUCUCGCUGGUUCUCCGGUUCUUUUUUCUAUCGCUUUAGUUAAGCCGGGGGUUGAACAACACUGUGGUUGUGUUCUGCUGUGAUCCUUUUGCUGUCAUCCAUUUAUCCUCUAUGUUCUCAGAGCCGCUGUAAAACCCAACAGUGACAACACUCAUAUCAUUUCAGGAGAUCAUUCAUCUCGGUUCAGAAGUACUGAUCUGAAAUUUAGUAGUGUAAAUACUUAGCUUGGUCAGAUCCUUAUCUGAGGCACAUCCAUAUGCGAAUAAACAGAAAUUGCAUAUUAAACCA
rnacentral:lncRNA from 1 species